rnacentral:rRNA from 1 species
UAGGGAAUCUUCCGCAAUGGACGAAAGUCUGACGGAGCAACGCCGCGUGAGUGAAGAAGGAUUUCGGUUCGUAAAACUCUGUUGUUAGGGAAGAAAAAAUGUAUAGUAACUAUAUACAAAAGAGACGGUACCUAACCAGAAAGCCACGGCUAACUACGUGCCAGCAGCCGCGGUAAUACGUAGGUGGCAAGCGUUGUCCGGAAUUAUUGGGCGUAAAGCGCGCGCAGGUGGUUUAGAAAGUCUGAUGUGAAAGCCCACGGCUCAACCGUGGAGGGUCAUUGGAAACUAAUAAACUUGAGUGCAGGAGAGAAAAGUGGAAUUCCUAGUGUAGCGGUGAAAGGCGUAGAGAUUAGGAGGAACGCCGGUGGCGAAAGCGGCUUUUUGGCCUGCAACUGACACUGAGGCUCGAAAGCGUGGGGAGCAAACAGG